GACGAACGCUGGCGGCGUGCUUAACACAUGCAAGUCGAGCGGAGCGGCGCACGGGUGAGUAACGCGUGAGUAACUGCCCCCCUCUCUGGGAUCACAGUUGGAAACGGCUGCUAAUACCGGAUAGUGGGGGAUGACUCGCGUCCUAUCAGCUUGUUGGUGGGGUAGUGGCCUACCAAGGCGACGACGGGUAGCCGGCCUGGGAGGGCGACCGGCCACAUUAGGCUGGGCUACGGCCCGAGCACCUACGGGAGGCAGCAGUGGGGAAUAGGACACAAUGGGGGAAACGCUGAUGCAGAAACGCCGCGUGCGGGAUGCGGGCCUUCUGGUUGUAAACCGCUUUCAGCCAUGACGCGGUAGUGGCAGAAGAAGCACCGGCUAACUUCGUGCCAGCAGCCGCGGUAAUAC
rnacentral:rRNA from 1 species